GGUUGUGGUUCAGUGGUAGAGCGCCUGCCUAGAAUACAUGAGGCACUGGGUUCAAUUCUCAGCACCA
rnacentral:tRNA from 1 species